UGGUUCUGGCAUCGAUGAAGAACGCAGCGAAAUGCGAUAAGUAGUGUGAAUUGCAGAAUUCAGUGAAUCAUCGAAUCUUUGAACGCACAUUGCGCCCUUCGGUAUUCCGUGGGGCAUGCCUGUUCGAGCGUCAUGAACACCCUCAAGCCCUGCUUGGUGUUGGGCGUCUGUCCUGGGGUUGCACCCCGCCCGGACUCGCCUUAAAGGCAUUGGCAGCGGUCCCCGUGGCCUCCUAAUCGCGCAGCACUGUCCGCGCCUCCUGGAGACUCGAGGGGUCGCGUCCACGAAGCCUACAUUUUCAAGUUUGACCUCGGAUCAGGUAGGGAUACCCGCUGA
rnacentral:misc_RNA from 1 species